rnacentral:misc_RNA from 1 species
AGUUGAACAAGUGCGUUUCGUGCUGUGCUGCAUGUAGUCUUAAGCAGCGAAUUGAAUUAAAGAAACAUUGUGGUAAAAAACCGCAAAAAAAUUUUAUGUGGCCGGCAUGUCGCAGCAGCAGGCCAAAACUUUUGAAAUUUUGGAAGAAUAAAGACAGUCUGAAGAAAAAAAACAGGGAGAACUGCACCAUGCAGGACUCAAAGUCUGGAAAUUGUGUUAAUGGAGUUUUCCAUUCUGAAAAAGUUGUUAUAUUGGAUGCUGGAGCUCAGUAUGGAAAGGUUAUUGAUAGGAGAGUGAGAGAAUUGUGUGUUGAAACUGAAAUUCUUCCUUUGAAUACUCCUGCUGAAACUUUAUUAGCUCAAGGCUAUAGAGCCAUCAUUAUAUCUGGAGGACCCAGUUCUGUGAAUGCUGCUGAUGCUUGUUCUCAUGAUCCUCAAAUAUUUACGUGUGGUUUACCAAUAUUAGGCAUAUGCUAUGGAAUGCAGAUGAUUAAUAAACACUUUGGGGGAACAGUUCAGAAGAAAGAUUCUAGAGAAGAUGGACAGUUUACAGUUCAAGUUGAUACAUCAUCUGCAUUAUUUAAGGGCUUAGAUAAAGAAGAAACAGUUUUAUUAACUCAUGGAGAUAGCAUGGACAAAGUUGCCGAUACAUUUAAAGUUAUAGCAAAAUCUGGCCAUCAUAUUGCAGCUAUUUCUAAUGAAAAGUUGAAGAUAUAUGGUGUUCAGUUCCACCCAGAAGUUGAUUUGACAACAAAUGGGAAGCUUAUUAUGAAGAACUUUCUAUAUAAUAUAAGUGGCCUGUCUGGAAAUUUCACCAUGCAGUCUCGUGAAGCUGAAUGUAUUGAAUAUAUUAAGAAACAUGUUGGGAAAAAUAAAGUUUUAAUGUUAGUAAGUGGAGGUGUAGAUUCUACAGUGUGUGCUGCAUUACUACAUCAAGCUUUGAAAGAAGAUCAAGUGAUAGCUAUUCAUAUAGACAAUGGAUUUAUGAGAAAAAAUGAAAGUUUGCAGGUUGAACUCUCUCUCAAGAAGCUGGGUUUAAAAUUAAGAGUAUUGAAUGCAUCCCAGAAUUUCUACAAUGGCUCAACUACCGUUCCUGUCGACAGAAAAGAUCCAAAUAGUAGGAAACGAGACACGCUAGUGUUAUGUAUGACUACAGAUCCAGAAGAAAAACGAAAAAUUAUUGGCGAUACUUUCAUGAGGGUUGCAAAUGAAAUUAUUGCCGAUCUUAAUUUAAAACCCGAAGAGACUUUGCUAGGCCAGGGAACCCUCAGACCAGACCUUAUUGAGAGUGCCUCAGCAUUGGCAAGUUGUAAUGCUGAUGCUAUUAAAACACAUCACAAUGAUACAGAUUUAGUUCGUACAUUGAGAGCAGAGGGACGUGUUAUAGAACCUUUAAAAGAUUUCCAUAAAGAUGAAGUUAGAAUUAUGGGAAAGGAUUUAGGCUUGCCUGAUGAAGUGGUUCAACGACAUCCAUUCCCAGGUCCAGGUCUUGCUGUUCGAGUAAUUUGUGCUGAUGAGCCAUUUAUGGAUAAAUUUUUCUCUGAAACUGGUGUUCUUAUUAAAGUUAUUAUAGAAUAUGCAACAUCUGUAGAAAAAAAACAUACUCUUAUUAAUAAAAUAAAGGAUAGCACAUCAGAAGAAGAACAAGCAUUUCUGUCAGCUGUAUCAACUAAAUAUAAGCUUACAUCUACACUUUUACCAAUCAAAAGUGUUGGAGUACAAGGUGAUCAACGAACCUAUAGUUAUGUUGUAGGUUUAUCUUCAAAAGAAGAAAUCACUGAAUGGGAGGAUUUAAUGUCAUUAGCAAAAAUAAUCCCUCGUGUUUGUCAUAAUGUAAACAGGGUGUGUUUCAUCUUUGGUCCUCCUGUAACAUAUCCAGUUCAUGAUAUAACUCCAACAUUUCUGACACCUAUUGUUCUAAGUACUCUACGGCAAGUUGACUAUGUUGCACAUUCUAUAUUGCAAAGUAGUGGUCAUAUGGGUAGUAUAUCUCAAAUGCCUAUUAUCCUUAUACCCAUACAUUUUGAUAGAGACGUAGUUUCAAGAAAUCCCUCUUGCCAGAGGUCUGCUGUAAUCAGGACAUUUAUUACUCAUGAUUUUAUGACAGGUAUACCAGCUACUCCAAAUAAGCACCUGCCUUUAGAUGUUAUUAAAAAAAUGGUUGCUGAGAUGUUAAAUGUUCCCGGAAUAUCAAGAAUCCUGUAUGACCUAACUCCUAAGCCUCCUGGAACUACAGAAUGGGAGUGAAAGUUUCCCUAGAGUUUUAAUAUAAUUGUGUGGGCUUAUCUUUAAAGAUUUCAAGAGAAAAAAAAUCAAAGACUUGCAUGCCAAAACUCGAGUAAGCUCACGCUGCUCUGUUGAAAGUAUGGGUGCUUAUACAUACAGUGGCUUCUAUAUCCAGUCUUCUUCCAUAUACUGUAUUUUUUAGAAUAUUUAGUUUGUGUGAUCGUUUCUGAACCAUAGAACAGAUUUUCAGAAAUAGUUUUUAACAGUUCCUUGUUUGUAGAGGGCACUCAUUCAGAGUGGGCAACAGUUUUGAAGCUGAAAUUUCCAUGUUUAAACUUCUCAAACCAUUUUUGAAUUGUGUUAUCAGAAACAGAAUUUUGUUCAUAUACAGCACAUGUUACAGUUCAUUUUUUAAAAUAAAAGAGAAUAAUAUUACAAAAAUGAUAGCACUGCAGUGAAACAAAACAUUAUGUCACAGCACAUGCUAGAAUUAUACAAUGCAAGCAGAAGAGUUUAAACAUCUGCUUCACUCCUUACAGGAAUAAUAAAAUAAUUAUAAGAAAAUGUGUUUUGAUUCGAAAAACAGCAGAACUUUCCAGAUGACCUUAUAUUUAUUAUGCCUUACAAUGAAAUAAAUAAGGCUCAUUGGCACAAUUGCUAGCAGGUUGUACCACAGAUCCAGGGUUCAAUCCCCAGGCUGAGCAAGGUUGACUCAGCCUUUCAUUGCUGUGAGUCGAUAAAAUGAGUACCAAGUUCGCUUGGGAACUAAAUACCGGAGGUCCUGUGACAUGUUGACAACCUGUCCAGGGCAUAUGCUAAUGCACCUAGGUCAUGAUAGCAGAAUAUCGGGGCCCACUAGGGCUGUUGUGCCACUGAGUUUAGUUUAAUGAAAUAAAUAAUGGCAAGCCUUGAACUUAAAAUUCAUACAUUGCAGAAUACGAGGAAUACUUUAAAAGUCAACUUUUUGGUUUCAUGAUGCACAUGUGUAGUAUAUAUAAAUUGCUACAAUAGUGUAUCUUGAUAAAAUGCAACAUACAAUAUUUUAUAUCUCUUUUAAAAAUAAGUUAUUGAAACAUACUUCUUUUGUAAAACUCUGGAAAUACAUAAAUCUUCAUGAAAAUUCUAGUGGACUUUAAUAAUUUUUGCCUUAAAAUUAAAUUACAAAAUGAUGAUGUGAAAUAAAAUUUAGCAGUAAUAUCCAGAUGCAAUAAAAAUAAUUUGUUUCUGGAAAAAGACAGAUGAUAAAGCUUGGCAUAUACAGUCAUGUUAGUGAGUUCACAGAGAUUAAAAAGAAAAUGCCAAAAUUUCUUUAAAAUAUUUAAUAUUGUUUUGUCAUUUUUAACAUGCAAACAAUAUAUCUAUUCACAUAAGACAUCUCUGUAUGUAACUUUCAGAUUUAAAAAAUAAAUAAAACAUACUUAAAAAUUGCAAA